UACGAAGGGGGCGAGCGUUGUUCGGAAUUACUGGGCGUAAAGAGCGCGCAGGCGGUCGUGCAAGUCGCGUGUGAAAGCCCCCGGCUCAACUGGGGAGGGUCACGCGAUACUGCUCGACUUGAAGGCAGGAGAGGGAAGUGGAAUUCCCGGUGUAGUGGUGAAAUGCGUAGAUAUCGGGGAGGAACACCAGUGGCGAAGGCGACUUCCUGGCCUGUUCUUGACGCUGAGGCGCGAAAGCUAGGGUAGCAAACGGG
rnacentral:rRNA from 1 species